AAGACUAUACUUUCAGGGAUCAUUUCUAUAGUUUCUAACUAGGAAAUGUGUUUCGAAAGUGUUGCGUCUCCUAAACCAUGAUGAAGAGUCAUGAUACUUCUUUUUGAGCGUGAAUCGGAUACAAAGUAAUGAUUUAGUUCAUACGCUUUGUGUUAUUGAUGAACGUUCCUCAUCACUUAUAGUGAUGUGGAGGACAGGAGUAUGAUCAGAAUGGU